GCACUGCUGAGGAGUCCCAUACUUGGACGAAACGGCCGUCCUGUGC
rnacentral:hammerhead_ribozyme from 1 species